AACAGCUGCAUGUAAUAGUCCAUGACAGAUUUACCGUUGAAGAAGGUGAACAAUGAAGAACAAAUGAAGUUGAUGGGAUGGCUAGAACAUUGUAAGAUGGUCAAAACAAAAAGAACACCGUUGAGGGCUCAGUGGAAGGAAAUUUCCUUGUCUCAGGUUUUUCUUUUGUCCAGCCACCUCUCUAAACUGUUUGACUUCUGCAGUUGUUUUUCAGGUGUGGGACGAAGGACAGAACUCAGUCAUCUCUCUGCUCACCUGAGACAAAUGCAUAUCUGAUUGCUUCCUCUGCCCUAUGUUUAUUUUAUCUUAUGUGAAAAGGCAGAUUUAUUGGACUAGACAAAUGUAUAAGUAACUAUUCCUGUACCCCCCUGUCAUGCGUACAUUGUGUAUUCAGGGAAUGGCUGAUGAAACACUCAAGAGGAUGCAACUGCUUGCCUCUUAUCUAGUCACACCCUUUAAAAAAUUUCUUCCUCUUUCCUCAUACCUGCGCUUUUGCCUUUGAAUACUGAGGUCUCCAGACCCUCUUCAGAAAAAGUAUGGGUCACAAUUUUCCCUGUGGUUCUGGGUUCUUUCUCAGGCAUGUCCUUAACCUUGGCAAACAAACAUCUUAAAAUGAUUUAGACUUGCCUCAGUCGUUUUGAUUUACUCUGUAUCUGUACAUGUACUCUGUAAAUUUUGGCUGGCAAGUCCAAAAUUUAUAGUGUGGGCCAGCAGGCUGGAGAUACGGAAGAGCUGAUGGUGCAGAUGAAGCUUGAAGGCAGUCUUCUGGAAAAUUCCUCUUGCUCCAUGAGGGGAGGGAUGAGGGAAAUGGAGGGGGGAAGGUCAGCCUUUUGUUUCACUCAGACCUUCAACUGAUUGAAUAAAAUCUACCCACAUUAUGA
rnacentral:lncRNA from 1 species